CCCUCGGGGCCCACUCCCACCCGUGUUGCCCGAACUAUGUUGCCUCGGCGGGCCCCGCGCCCGCGACGGCCCCCUGAACGCUGUCUGAAGUUGCAGUCUGAGACCUAUAACGAAAUUAGUUAAAACUUUCAACAACGGAUCUCUUGGUUCCGGCAUCGAUGAAGAACGCAGCGAAAUGCGAUAACUAAUGUGAAUUGCAGAAUUCAGUGAAUCAUCGAGUCUUUGAACGCACAUUGCGCCCUCUGGUAUUCCGGAGGGCAUGCCUGUCCGAGCGUCAUUGCUGCCCUCAAGCCCGGCUUGUGUGUUGGGCCCCGUCCCCCCCGCCGGGGGGACGGGCCCGAAAGGCAGCGGCGGCACCGCGUCCGGUCCUCGAGCGUAUGGGGCUUCGUCACCCGCUCUAGUAGCCCGGCCGGCGCCAGCCGACCCCCAACUUUAAUUAUCUCAGUUGACCUCGGAUCAGGUAGGAUAC
rnacentral:rRNA from 1 species